rnacentral:tRNA from 1 species
GGGAUUUAGCUCAGUUGGGGGAACGCGUCAAUCGCAUUGACGAGGUCAGGGGUUCAAGUCCCCUAAUCUCCA